rnacentral:lncRNA from 1 species
AAGAACAAAGGAAGAAAAGAAGAACACCAACCCUAGGUGGAAAAAUUCAAGGGAAAAGUGUGGAAAUUCAAGUAAUCAAGCAAUCAAAGGUAAAAUUUCUUGAUUUUGACUUGCGAUCUACCUUUCCCAUGCAUUAUUUUGCAUUUUCCAUGGUUGAAUCACAAGAUAUCAUGAAGGAUUCAUGGCUGACCGAAUUUAGAGAGAGAAGAUUUGAUGAUUGAUUUGGUUAGAUUUUAAGAUAUUUUACUGUUUUUAGUUAGUUAGUGAUGUGUAGCAUGGAAAUCAAGCAAGAAAAAUUCAUUUUCUCCCAUCACCCAUCAUUGGCCGAAUUUUCCAUGUAGAGUGUGGAUGAUGAUUUUGAUUUUAUUUCAAGUGAAUUGGUUAGGAAAUGAUGAUUUAUGGUGUGAGAAUCAAGUAGAAAAAAUCAUAGUAUUGAUGCACCCACCAUGGUCGAAUUUUUCAAGAGAAAAUGUGAAGAUGAUUUUGCUAGAUUUUAUGCUAUUUGACUUGUGUUUGAUGAGUUGGAGUAUUGAGAUAAAAAUGGAGUUAAUUGGAGUUGAAUUGGACAUAUUGGCCAAUUAAUCGAGUGAUAGAUCAAAUUAGGCCAAUACCAAUUUAAUUAGGAACCCAAAUGAAUUUGUGUAGAAUACCGUGUUUAGACAGUAAUCCGAACAAUUUGCAUCCCAUUUCAUGCAUUAGUAUAGAGCCUGAAUUGGUUUUAUAACAAUUUAGCACUAAUGUAGUAAAUGGUUUAUUGUGCAUUAUGUCUAAGUGGUGAGCAUUCUGGCAAAAGUAAAGAGAUAGUACCUGAGGAUCAAGAAUCGGAGUACUUGAAAUUUGACUUUUGAAAUAGUGAGUAACCUUAUCAUCAUCUUGAUUAUCUGAAGUGAAUUUUAAUUCAUUUUUGUGAUUUUAUGGAAAAUGAGUUUAAAUGGUAAAUCUUUAUGCUUUAAAAGCAAAAUGUGAUUAAAUGAAAUGAUUUUAUAAAAUUGUCUUGAAAUUGAAUGAUGGUUUUGGAAAAUGGAGAAAUUGGAGACUAAUUGUAGUGUUGUAAAUUAUGGUUUGAAUUGAGUGGCUUAUGAUAAUGUGGGCAUAAGUGGCUGAAUUGGUAAUUGUGCUAAACAUAUGUGAACUGUUGUUUUGCCUUGACAUGUUGUGUUGUAAAAUAAUUGCCACGUUAUGCUACUGAAAUUUUAUUGAUUUGGUGGGAUAUCGAUUAGCUUACUGCAGUUGGCGGGUUUCCGUGGACCGGCCUACUAGAGGGGCACGGUAAACCUCGUUAUAUCUUACCUCAGUAUGAGAGGUGCAGAUGGAUAACUCUUGAGGUUAACACUUUAGAGUUCACUUCACGCCAAACCACGACGUGAGGGUGAACUCAGCUAACGCCAAGAAACAGCUUUGUUUCAAAAUAAAAACAUGAUUUAUGUGCACAUAACUUUUUAACAGCCUUGGCGAACUAGGUUGGGAUAGCCCUCGAUCAAGGCAUCCCUGAUAACUGGGUAUGAGAAUGAUUUUGGCAGGAGCCAAAGUUUUAAGAAAUUCAUAAGCCAUGUUGAUUACUCGAUUUAUAUGAAUUGAUUAUUUUUGGUUGAAACAAGUUGAAAGGUGAUGUAUUACAAUAUGUUAAACUGUUUAUCUGUCUCCAUUUACUCAACUUUAGAUGUUUUAGAUGGUAUUUGUUUACUCACUAGGAUUAUAUAAUCUCACCACCCUCCUUUUCACCCCUUUCAGGCUCAAGAUAGUCGGUAGAUAGCUCACUUUGUUGAGGGCUACAGUUGGACUUGCAUCCUCAAAAACUGUAGGUUUACUGCUUUUAAUACUUUUGGUUAUUCGAGGGCCCACUUGUUACUAUAAAUUAAAUUAAAUACUCUGGCUUACUGUAUUACAAUAUAUAUGAAUUUAUUUUGCUU